UUUAGUUCAAAACCCCGAAACUAAGUGAGCUACCCCGAGACAGCCUAUCAAUUAGGGCCAACCCAUCUCUGUGGCAAAAGAGUGGGAAGAGCUCCGGGUAGAGGUGACAAACCUACCGAACUUAGUUAUAGCUGGUUACCUAAGAAAUGAAUAAAAGUUCAGCCUCGCACUCCUUGCCUCACAAACAUCUAAAACCACACGAGCCAAAGAAAUAUGCGAGAGUUAGUCAAAGGGGGUACAGCCCCUUUGAAACAGGACACAACCUCGUGCAGGAGGUUAAAGAUUAUACUAAACAAGAUACACCGCUUUAGUGGGCCUAAAAGCAGCCACCUAGACAGAUAGCGUUAAAGCUCCAGCGGACUAAAAAUCUAUUAUCCAAAUAAUUUAUCUAAAACCCCUAACAAUAUUAGGUCGCCCCAUGCCUACAUGGAAGAGAUACUGCUAAAAUGAGUAAUAAGAAGGAACCCCCUUCUCCUAGCCUACGUGUAUAUUAGAUCGGACCCCCCACUAAUAAUUAUCGAGCCCAACCAAAGAGGGCAAUGUGAUAGCACUAAACAACAAGAAAACAUCACACCACCAAAUCGUUAAUCCCACACCGGAAGGCCCACAAGGAAAGACUAAAAGAAAAGGAAGGAACUCGGCAAACCCAAGCCUCGCCUGUUUACCAAAAACAUCGCCUCCUGCAAAAAUCAAUGUAUAGGAGGUCCUACCUGCCCAGUGACAAGUUAAACGGCCGCGGUAUUUUGACCGUGCGAAGGUAGCGCAAUCACUUGUCUUUUAAAUGAAGACCUGUAUGAAUGGUGGAACGAGGGCUUAACUGUCUCCCCUUUCCAGUCAAUGAAAUUGAUCUGCCCGUGCAGAAGCGGACAUAUUAGUACAAGACGAGAAGACCCUUUGGAGCUUAAGAUAAAAGAUCAACUAUGUCAAGAAACUAAAAACAUAGCUUAAACUAAAUAGCAGCUGAUCCUUAUCUUCAGUUGGGGCGACUGCGGAAGAAAACAAAGCUUCCACGAGGAUUGGGAUAAAUAACCUAAAGCCGAGAAAGACACUUCUAAGCCACAGAACAUCUGACCAUAUAAGAUCCGGCCACCCGCCGAUCAACGGACCAAGUUACCCUAGGGAUAACAGCGCAAUCCCCUUUCAGAGUUCAUAUCGACAAGGGGGUUUACGACCUCGAUGUUGGAUCAGGACAUCCUAAUGGUGCAGCCGCU
rnacentral:rRNA from 1 species